rnacentral:snRNA from 1 species
GUCCCCUCGGGGACAUUCGAUAAAAUUGGAAUGAUACAGAGAAGAUUAGCAUGGCCCCUGCACAAUGAUGACACGCACAAAUCGAGAAAUGGUCCAAAUUUUU